CAGAGAUUUAGGCUUACACAGUCUCCCAAGUAUAUAAGGGGCAUGUGGCUCCUGCUUUCUGCAUCAUUGUCCUGGAAGCACCGCCAAGCACCACAUCCUCCGACAUGAAGCUGAUCGUCGUCGCCUGCCUGGUCGCCAUGGCCAUGGCUGCUCCCAGACCCCAGGAAGACGUCUCCAUCUUGACAGAUGAACGCGUCGACCAAGGCGACGGAAACUUCAACUACAACUUCGAACUGAGCGACGGCACUGCCAUAGAAGCUGUGGGAACCCCUAACGACGAGGGCGCCGUCAGCAUCACGGGAUCUUACAGAUUCACUCUUCCUGACGGUGCAGUAGUCGAAAUCAAGUACGUGGCUGACGAAGCCGGUUUCAGGCCCGAAGGGGACGUCAUCCCCACCCCCCACCCACUCCCCGACCACGCCAUCGAGCAGAUCCGCUUCGCCGAGGAGCAGAGAGCGGCUGGAGUCACUUUCGAAUAAAGUUUUCGAUCCUUCGUCGUCGGCGCCCUUCGGGAACUGGGAUGCAUGAAGUGUUUCCUUCGUGAUCCUGAAAGUUCUUUUCGUGUUAAGGCCUAAUCUGUUUCAUUCCUUGGUCCGUCUUCAUUUAGUCUCGUUGAAUCCUUGUCUCCCGAAUUCACUAGUACUAAGAAUCCUAGUACUAUGAACCCUUAAAUCAUCUGAAUUCGAUUGCAUAUAUCUCUCUUUCUAUUUACACACACACACACACACACACACACACACACACACGUAUCCUUCCGUUAUCGUGCUGUAAAUAAAGCGUGGUCCUCAGUCGAUCAAAAGGCUAUAGUACUAUCAAGACUCCAUCAACGAUCUACGAGUCAAUUUCUCUGUCUCGUCGCCUCCUUUUUUUUCCCACAGACAAACAGAAACCGACCGAUCCUCCGCUCUCCGUCCCGCCAACGCUCCCUGAACCAAACUCACUUUUCACCAACGAUGAAGUCAGUUCUGCUGAUGUGUUGAAAAUAAAAUUAUUUUGCAUAAA